rnacentral:misc_RNA from 1 species
UUUCCGUAGGUGAACCUGCGGAAGGAUCAUUAAAUAAUUUAGAUGACCUCCUAGAACUUGUUCUAGUUAGGUUCAUUCUUUUUUACUGUGAACUGUUUUAAUUUUCAGCGUUUGAGGAAUGUCUUUUAGUCGUAGGGAUAGACUAUUAGAAUGUUAACCGAGCUGAAGUCAGGUUUAGACCUGGUAUCCAAUUAAUUAUUUACCAAAAGAAUUCAGUAUUAUUAUUGUAACAUAAGCGUAAAAAACUUAUAAAACAACUUUUAACAACGGAUCUCUUGGUUCUC